GACACCGGCUCCGACAUGUCUUCGGCACCACCACCACUAACACAGCACAAGAGCCACAGUGAGUUCAGCACUUGCGCUCUCACUCUUGCAGCUCCUCAGAGCCAAAGCGGACGAGGGAGGAGGAGGAAGAGGAGGAAGAGGACGCAUCAACAACAAGGUGGGUUGGAACUGAUGACGACACGGAGUGCGUUCGGAUAUGCGCUGCAGGUGACGGGCUUUAUCCUGCUGGGAGUGCCCAUAUUGGUGCUGUUCUUGCAGCUCCCACGCGCUAUCACUCCCCACCGAAUCGACCCCUCUGUGUUGCCUUGCAAGCUGCACCAAGACGCUGAGCUCAGCAAUGCAUCCACCUGUGUGCCCUUCCACCGAUCGCUAUUCCCUGAGGGCUUCGUGUUCGGAACCGCCACGUCUUCGUACCAGGUCGAAGGCGCCGCUAAUGUGAGUGGUCGGGAGCCAAGCAUUUGGGACACAUUCUCCCGUAUUCCAGGAAAAAUUUCGGAUGGCAAGACUGGCGAUGUUGCAAGCGACCAGUAUGACAAGUAUAUGGGGGACAUCGACUUGAUGUCGCAGCUGAAUGUGGACGCUUACCGUUUUUCCAUCUCCUGGACGAGGGUCAUGAAACUGGGUGGGGAGACCCCUGAGGUGAACCAAGAAGGAGUAGCAUACUACAACAACCUCAUCAACGGUCUUUUGAAGAAAGGAAUUCAACCCUUCGUUACACUGUAUCAUUGGGACCUGCCGCAGUCUCUGAAUGACGCGUACGGCGGUUGGAUUGACCGCAAAGUUGUAAAUGAUUAUGCGCAGUUUGCUGAAGCAUGUUUCACUGCUUUCGGCGACCGAGUCAAGCACUGGAUCACCUUCAACGAGCCUCAGACGUUCACUGUGCUAGGAUAUGGCAAUGGUAUUCAUGCACCCGGAAGGUGCUCCGACCGAAGCAAGUGCACUGCAGGAAACACUGCCACGGAGCCUUACCUUGCGGCUCAUAAUGUACUCCUUGCUCACGCUGCAGCUGUAGACGUUUACAAGAGGAAAUUUAAGGCUAUGCAGGGUGGUGCAGUUGGCAUUUCAUUGGACUGUGAGUGGGGCGAGCCGGAGACUAAUUCUGCAGCUGAUGUGGAAGCAGCUGAACGGCACGUUCUUUUCCAGUUGGGCUGGUUUCUGGACCCAAUAUACCGUGGCGAUUACCCAGCAGUUAUGCGGACAAAUGUGGGCAACCGGUUGCCUGAAUUCACAGCAGAUGAGUUAGCAUUACUGAAAGGAUCCUUGGACUUCAUCGGCUUGAACCACUACACUUCCAGGUUUAUAUCCAGCGGUUCCGGUCCUGGGAAUGCACUUACCAGCGACCACUGGCAAGAUCAGGGAAUCUUGUCUUCAGCUGUGCAGUUACAUCCCGGAACGGAUCUCAAAUUGGGCAUCAGGCAGCAUCAGAGUGGCUGUACAUCGUGCCUUGGGGUAUUGGAAAGACAUUGGUGUGGCUGACAGAACGAUACCAGAAGCCACUGAUAUUUGUCACGGAAAAUGGCAUGGACGACCUAGAUGGCUCCAAGCCAGUACCUGAAUUACUGAACGACGUGAACCGCAUCGAUUUCUACGAAAAUUAUUUGUCCUCUGUUCUCUCAGCAAUAGGAAAUGGAUCAGACGUCCGCGGCUACUUCGCGUGGUCACUGAUGGAUAACUUUGAGUGGUCGAUGGGAUACACUCGACGAUUCGGGCUACUUUACGUGGACUACGACAACCAACAGAGAUCACUCAAAGAGUCGGCCAAGUGGUUUUCUCGGUUUCUAACUCGGGCUAAGUGAAUUUGUACUUUCAAGAAUCCUUAAAGAAAUUCCGAAAAACUGUGUACUACAGUACAAAUUUUGGACUUCGAGGCAGUUCGAAGGCGUGCGACAUGUUGCCGCUAUUUUAUAAAUUCCUACUACAGACUCUUGGGUGCAGCGUCUGCUGCUUGUAGAGUGAAUUGCCGUGGGUAAUUUCAAGCGCCUAGGUGGAAGAAGCUGCAAUUUGAACUUGAGAGGAAUUUGAAGGCAAACCCCUGGUGUCCUAUGUUCCACCCUCAUUCGACAUGUAGAACUCUGUUUUAUCCUUGUACCCAGUCGGUUUACUCGAUUGCUAGUAGUCAAGCCGACAAGCAAGCCUCACAAGUCUCCGUGGAUUCAUCUUCUCCCAACACAAGGAAAAAAAGGUCCUGCACAAGUUGUCCCGGUACUACUGAUUCAACUCUUCGCCAUGAGUUCGGUGUAUAUUUCUCUGGACGCCACACGAUUGUCUUCUUGACCCAGCUUAAAUUUUGCUAGUUCACCGUUCAGGCUAUUUUCCACAACCGCAUCUCUUUAAGGCUACAUUUUGAACAGGGUCGAGGUACUGGAAACCCCGUUUAUGUCUGAAAUCAGUAUCCUUGAACAUUGUUCUCAUCAUCAUUGAACACGAUCCUGUUGCCACUUGCGCAACAAUGGUCAGCUUCCUGGAUUGGCCCGUUUGCUCA